rnacentral:rRNA from 1 species
UACAGAGGUCUCAAGCGUUGUUCGGAUUCAUUGGGCGUAAAGGGCUCGUAGGCGGCCAACUAAGUCAGACGUGAAAUCCCUCGGCUUAACCGGGGGAACUGCAUCUGAUACUGGAUGGCUUGAGUUCGGGAGAGGGAUGCGGAAUUCCAGGUGUAGCGGUGAAAUGCGUAGAUAUCUGGAGGAACACCGGGUGGCGAAGGCGGCAUCCUGGGACCGACGACCUGACGCUGAGGAGCGAAAGCCAGGGGAGCAAACGGG